CCUGUUAGAUAGUUCCAUGCAGCAUGCGAUUUACUUUCUAUUUUAACCAAGAACUUCUCAAACUCUUCGAAACUGUAAACCUCUACAGUUAUCCUAAACAACGCAACGAUGCCACUGCCUCGAUACCUAGUCUUCAGGUUUUCCCGUACAUUGUACAUACAGUAACCAUGAUGUGCCUCGAGGAAGACUUUAGCAAUACCAUUUAUUAUUAACUAUUCUCGAUCGGUUACGAAUUCAAGGUUCUCGAUGUCCCCAAUUACUUCCCUCAAUUUAGUGAAGAACCAACGCAUCGCUAGAUCAUUCUCUCCAUCGACUAUGCCGAAUGCGAGAGGAUAAAUUUGGAUGUUGAUAUCUUGACAUGUUGUAAUAAUCAAUUUGCCUUCGUAUCUAACCUUAAAGGUUGUACCGUCGACUAGAAUUAGUGGUUACACCACGUUUUGAAAUUGUCGAACGCAUUAUCCGAGGGCUAUGAAGAAAUACUUGAAACGAUUCUCGCCAUCCAUCUCAAUAUAAAAUGCCGAUUCAGUAUUAGUUUUCUCCAUGUUAUAGCAAUAUCUGCCAAUUUAAAUAAAUAAUAAUCAGAAUAAAUAAUUUAAAUAAGUAAUUAAAUAUUAAAGAAACAAAAAUUUAAAUAAUUGAAAUAAAUAAUUAACAAUUAAAAUAAAUAUUAAAUAAACAAUUAAACAAAGAAAUACCUUGCCAUUUUAGCGUAACUCUCCUUGGUCGAACCCAUUAAGUCCUCCAAU
rnacentral:lncRNA from 1 species